rnacentral:rRNA from 1 species
CUCCUGGAAACGGGUGGUAAUGCCGGAUGUUCCAGUUGAUCGCAUGGUCUUCUGGGAAAGCUUUCGCGGUAUGGGAUGGGGUCGCGUCCUAUCAGCUUGACGGCGGGGUAACGGCCCACCGUGGCUUCGACGGGUAGCCGGCCUGAGAGGGCGACCGGCCACAUUGGGACUGAGAUACGGCCCAGACUCCUACGGGAGGCAGCAGUGGGGAAUAUUGCACAAUGGGCGCAAGCCUGAUGCAGCGACGCCGCGUGAGGGAUGGAGGCCUUCGGGUUGUAAACCUCUUUUAUAGGGGAGCAAGCGUGAGUGAGUUUACCCGUUGAAUAAGCACCGGCUAACUACGUGCCAGCAGCCGCGGUAAUACGUAGGGUGCAAGCGUUAUCCGGAAUUAUUGGGCGUAAAGGGCUCGUAGGCGGUUCGUCGCGUCCGGUGUGAAAGUCCAUCGCUUAACGGUGGAUCCGCGCCGGGUACGGGCGGGCUUGAGUGCGGUAGGGGAGACUGGAAUUCCCGGUGUAACGGUGGAAUGUGUAGAUAUCGGGAAGAACACC